GGAAGAAAGGGUGGUUAAAUUAAAGUAAGCAGAGAAGAAGUGAGAAGAGAAGGGGACUGAAGAAUGGAAUUGAAAUGGCAAUUCUCUUUGGUACUGCUGUUGGCGACAUCCUUUCACCUUCAACUACACUACGUUUCAGGUAAAGAUAAUGGAGUUUGUAUUUCACCUGGUGGUCGCUUUCCAAGAUUUUCAAAUGAAGGAAAACCUCCAAGAAAAGUAAAAAAGGGCCCAAGAGAUUUGAACCUCUGUAGGGUAUUUCGCGGGAAAACUUGCUGUGAUGUAACACAGACACAUCCUGCUUUUAUGUCCAUUAGGAGGCUUGCUUCAACCGGAGAAGCGAGCCAGGAGUGCUUGCACUUAUGGGAGAUGUUAGAAUGUUCAAUCUGUGAUCCACGUGUUGGUGUGCAGGCUGGACCACCUGUUUUAUGCACCUCUUUCUGUGACAAAGUAUACCAAGCCUGCUCCAACGCAUACUUCUCCAUUGAUGCUAAGACACAGGUUUUAGCACCCUGUGCUGUAAACGACUUUGUGUGUGGUAGAGCGUCCGAAUGGAUCUCUAAUGGGACAGAGCUCUGCCGCGUUGCAGGUUUUUCGGUGAAGUCUUUGUCUGAUGAUCCAGAAGAAGUUUCUUGCUAUGGUGGAAAAUCUAGUGUGGAUUAUAUUGCCGAUUCAUGGCGAACUUCACGAUCCAAGGUGCAAGAGAAAGCUGACAGUUCUGGAUUAGUGGAAGAUUUCAAGCAAUGGCUGGAGGACAUGACAUUUAAAGAGAGAAUAUCUUGGGCUGUAGGAGGCAUGGUUCUUACAGCAGGACUUCUAUUUACCAGUCAAAGGAAAAGCCAUAGGCAACGCCAGAAACUAGCGGCCCUCCAACGUACUGCUAAGAAAUUAGAAGGAAGGGGGAGUCCAAGAUCUCCUACAACUUUAGGAAGCCUAAAGGGAAGUUAAAGAUGAUAACUAACUCCUUACUAAAAGGAGGUAUUUCAGCUUGUUAUUAUACUCCCUGAUGAAAUUAGCAAUGAAUACAGAUUUCAAUUGUUCUUGUACUUCAAGUGUAAACCAGUGAAGAAAAU
rnacentral:misc_RNA from 1 species